rnacentral:rRNA from 1 species
AUUGAACGCUGGCGGCAUGCCUUACACAUGCAAGUCGAACGGCAGCGGACCUUCGGGUGCCGGCGAGUGGCGAACGGGUGAGUAAUAUAUCGGAACGUACCUUUCAGUGGGGGAGUAACGUAGCGAAAGUUAACGCUAAUACCGCAUAUUCUGUGAGCAGGAAAGCAGGGGAGUCGCAAGACCUUGCGCUGAUUGAGCGGCCGAUAUCAGAUUAGCUAGUUGGUGAGGUAAAGGACUCACCAAGGCGACGAUCUGUAGCGGGUCUGAGAGGAUGAUCCGCCACACUGGAACUGAGACACGGUCCAGACUCCUACGGGAGGCAGCAGUGGGGAA